rnacentral:rRNA from 1 species
GAUGAACGCUGGCGGCGUGCCUAAUACAUGCAAGUCGAGCGAACGGACGAUAAGCUUGCUUCUUUGCUGUUAGCGGCGGACGGGCGAGUGACACGUGGAUAGCCUUCCUAUAUGUCGGGGAGAACAUCGGAGAACCGGAUCUAAUACUACCUGAUAUUAUGUACCGCUGGGUGCAAAAGUGAAAGACGGUCUUGCUGUUAGUAUUAGAUGGAUCCGCGCUGCAUUAGCUAGUUGGUAAGGUAACGGCUUACCAAGGCAACGAUGCGUAGCCGACCUGAGAGGGUGAUCGGCCACACUGGAACUGAGACACGGUCCAGACUCCUACGGGAGGCAGCAGUAGGGAAUCUUCCGCAAUGGGCGAAAGCCUGACGGAGCAACGCCGCGUGAGUGAUGAAGGUCUUCGGAUCGUAAAACCCUGUUAUUAGGGAAGAACAUAUGUGGAAGUAACUGUGCACAUCUUGACGGUACCUAAUCAGAAAGCCACGGCUAACUACGUG